UACGUAGGGGGCAAGCGUUGUCCGGAGUUACUGGGCGUAAAGCGCACGCAGGCGGUCUUUUAAGUUUGGAGUGACAGUUGGUGGCUUAACUGCCAAAGUGCUUCGAAAAACUGAGAGACUUGAGGGCUUCAGAGGGACACGGAAUUCCGGGUGGAGUGGUGAAAUGCGUAGAGAUCCGGAGGAACACCAAAGGCGAAGGCAGUGUCCUGGGGAGUACCUGACGCUCAGGUGCGAAAGCCAGGGGAGCGAACGGG
rnacentral:rRNA from 1 species